rnacentral:rRNA from 1 species
UACCUGGUUGAUCCUUCCAGUAGUCAUAUGCUUGUCUCAAAGAUUAAGCCAUGCAUGUGUAAGUAUGAACAAAUUAAGACUGUGAAACUACGAAUGGCUCAUUAAAUCAAUUAUAGUUAGUUUGAUUGUAUCUACUACUCGGAUAACUACAGUAAUUCUAGAGCUAAUACGUGCAACAAACCCCGACUUCUGAAGGGAUGCAUUUAUUAGAUAAAAGUUCAACGCGGGCUCUGCCCGUUGCUACGAUGAUUCAUGAUAACUCGAUGGAUAGCAAGGCCAUCGUGCCGGUGCCGCAUCAUUCAAAUUUCUGCCCUAUCAACUUUCGAUGUUAGGAUAGUGGCCUACAAUGGUGGUGAUGGGUGACGUAGAAUUAGGGUUCGAUUUUGAAGAGGGAUCCUGAGAAACGGCUACAACAUCCAAGGAAGGCAGCAUGCGUGCAAAUUACCCAAUCGUGACACGGGGAGGUAGUGACAAUAAAUAACAAUACCGGGCUCUAUGAGUCUUGUAAUUGGAACGAGCACAAUCUAAAUCCCUUAACGAGGAUCCGUUGAAGGGCAAGUCCGCUGCUAGUAGCCGCAGUAAUUCCAACUUAAAUAGCGUAUAUUUAAGUUGUUACAGUUAAAAAGCUCGUAGUAGGACUUUGGGAUGGACCGACCGGUCCUCCCUAGGUGUGCACCGGCCGUUUCGUCCCUUCUAUCGGCGAUGCGCUCGUGGCCUUAAUUGUCCAGGUCGUGCCUCCGGCGUAGUUACUUUGAAGAAUUAGGGAGCUCAAAGCAAGCCUACUGUCACGGACUUUUCGAAUCGGACAAUGCUCCGUGUGGCACCUGACGGUCUACUCAUGAUUCUUGCACGAUCUUGUAGACUCAAGUAAGCCUUCCUCUACUUGGAUCGCUAAGAGAACUUAGAAAGAGAAAACAAAGACAGAAUUGGGAAGAUUAGACUAGUAUCUUAUUAGUCAAAGAAUUGUUGGAUGCUUGACAAAAUACAAUGACCCUACUAUUUGUACUACUCUAACCCCUAAGAGUAAAUAAAUACAACUAUACAAGCCCCUAUGUUCAUGCACUCAAGGCAUGACUCCUAAGUCUUCCCAAAAGGACUCCUACCCUUGACUAGUCUGCCCCCACGUCCUAGAAGCCUUGAGCAAGCCUAAUCAAGGCUUGAAACUGCUGCCCCUUCACCUUCAGUAACAGCUCUAACGACUGUAACUGCUGUAAUAGCUGAAACGGCUGAAACUGCCGAAACUGUUGUAACGGCUGCCCCUCCAACUGCUGCCUGCUUGGGCGCCAGCACCUUGGUCUACUGACCGGUGUGGGCUGCCUGCCCCCUUGCGCCUGCUGCUGGCUGCCUAGGCAGGUCGUAAACAGCCUGGGUAUCUAGCGGGUCGUGACAAACUCCCCCACCUGAUGAUGCGACGUCCGCAUCGCAUUGCGUCCGUAUCGGCGUUGAGUUCUGCCGGGCGACCAUCAACUCGCGUACUCGAUCAAUCCCUUCGAACAGCCUCUUCAUCGAUGUCCCGUCCUUUCUCGACCCGAUCUUCCAAACUUCCUCCUUCAACGCGGGCAAGUGCUCCGGCGGCUUCUUCAUCAUGUCAGCGUUCCUACUCGGAACCCUCUUACUGCGCGAUGGCAAAGUCUUUCCAGCACCAUUGUCUUCUCUAGAACUUACAAUGGUCGCUGCUGGUGUUAACCUUCUUCCCACGUCGACCCUCUCGAGCUUCAUGGCUGUAAAUCUAGCCUAUCUCUCCGCCGCAUGUGCCUUCACCAUGGGAACUGUAUAUUCCCUUCCUUUAUCCAUUAUUGUCAAUUUUUGGAGAUGAGGAUCGAUUACUGCAUGGCACUAUUGGAAGAACUUCUGCCCAAGAAUAACAUCAAACAUGUUGAUGGGGGCGAUGAUGAAUUUGGUUUUCCCUUGCCAAUCGCCUACAAUGAUGUUCACGCCGUGUGCUACUCCAACUAUGGGAGUCGGUGAUGCGUUGACAGACUUUAUUUGGGCGUUGGUUGAAGUAUAUCGCUACCCCAACCUCUUUGCUGCCGUCUUGGUCAUAAUAUUGACCUCAGGACCGGUGUCAACCAACGCACGAGCAGGUUUCCCAUUGACCAUGAUGUCGACUGUUUGAGCCCACGCCAUAGACUUUGGAAGUCCCUUGUCAGCAUGCUUCGGCUCCGCUUGCCUUGGCUCAUCUUGCCUUGGCCUCGUCGAUGGUUGUUCAAUCACAGCUUCGCAUAGGCUUACCACGCCCAACUGCUUAGUCUUCCCGACUUCCUCUUGGGCUUUCUUUUCCUUCCGCUCACGGAGUAUAGCACCAAGACUUUUCAGUUCAGGGCAUCUCUUGUAACCAUGCGGCCCUUUGCAUAUGAAGCAACCGUCCUUGGAAUCCUGUACCGUGUUGCCACGAUCUCUAGGCUUCUUGCCGUUGGACUCAUAGGUGUCACGCCUUUUGGGUUGUGGCGUUUGCUCCUCGCCUUCGCCACUGUCAUCCCCACUAUCAUCAUGACUACCUACCUCGUCGUCCUCAUCGGCACUGAAAGACUUCUCCUGCCUGAAGUCUGUCAAGGCUUCAGCCUGCGUAAUGGCGUCCUCGAUAUUCCUGACCUGCUGCCGUUCCAACUCCGUUCUGGCCCAAUUUUGCAGCCCAUCCAUGAAGUAGAACAAUGUGUCGUCGUCCAUGAGGUUGGGAAUUUGAUAUGUAAGGGUGGUAAACUCCCGCACAUACGCGCGUAUGCUGCCCUUUUGUCUCAACUCCCGCAUCUUGCGCUUUGCCUCAUAGACAACGUUGCUAUGGAGGAACUCCUUCUUGAACACCACACGGAACUGCUCCCAUGUGUUCAACGCGCACGUCCCCUUUGCGAUGUCAGACUCUUUACACUUCCACCAUAGCAUGGCCAACUCUUAAAGAUACAACACAACCGUGUUGAUCUUAUUCACAUCACUACGGACCCGCAUACACUUGAAAUAAUUCUCCAAGUGCCAAAGGAAAUUAUCCACCGCUUGCGCGUCACAGACGCCUAUGAAGAUUGGUGGCUUGGGCGCCUCAACUCUGGCUUCCCUUUCUCGGUUAUGUGAUGAGGAUCCACCAACCUCUCUAUCCUCCUCGAGUGCUGCCACCUUGGCCUUAAGCAACUUGAUUGUGCCAAGUGCUUCCCUAAAUCUGAUCUCUAAGGAAGAAAUGACCUCCUUUGUCUCAUACUCGGCUCGCUGGCGUGCCUCCAACUCCUUCCGGACGUUCUCAACUUCCUCAAGGGAGUACUAUUCAAGAGCUUUGAUAUCCCUGUUCGUUCUAUUCAAGCGCUGACCUAUGAUCUCAACGGCUUGCCUCGCCAUUUCGACCCUUGCAAUCCACUCCGGUUCGACAGUAACGUCCACGGACUCCUCGCCGGUAUCUACGUCACUUCCAUCAACAAUCUGGGGAGGGAGAGAUGUUUGCCCUUCGCUUGGUGUAGGAACACUAGGUGGAGGAACAUUUUGUGGAAGACCAGGCAGAUUGGGUUCAUUACCCGUCUGCUGCUUCUUCCCCUUAUUGUUCUUCUUGCCACCAUCAGUGCGGACGUUGGGGGUGCUGCUAGUGCCGUCUCCACCGUUCGUCAUUCUCUAGAUGAACCUGCUCUGAUACCAAUUUUCACGGACUUUUCAAAUCGGACAAUGCUCCGUGCGGCACCUGACGGUCUACUCACGAUUCUUGCACGAUCUUGUAGACUCAAGUAAGCCUUCCUCUACUUGGAUCGCUAAGAGAACUUAGAAAGAGAAAACAAAGACAGAAUUUGGAAGAUUGGACUAGUAUAUUAUUAGUCAAUGAAUUGUUGGAUGCUUUACAAAAUACAAUGACCCUACUAUUAUACUACUCUAACCCCUAAGAGUAAAUAAAUACAACUAUACAAGCCCCUAUGUUCAUGCACUCAAGGCAUGACUCCUAAGUCUUCCAAAAAGGACUCCUAGCCUUGACUAGUCUGCCCCCCACAUCCUAGAGGCCUUGAGCAAGCCUCAUCAAGGCCUGAAACUACUGCCCCUUGACGUUCAGUAACAGGUGUAAUGGCUGUAACUGCUGAAACGGCUGAAACUGCCGAAACGGUUGUAACGGCUGCCCCUACAAUUGCUGCCUGCUUGGGCGCCAGCACCUUGGUCUGCUGACCAGUGUGGGCUGCCUGCCCCCUUGCGCCUGCCGCUGGCUGCCUAGGAAGGUCGCGAACUGCCUGGGUAUCUGGCGGGUCGUGACACUACGCUCUAUGUACAUUAACAUGGGAUAAUAUUAUAGUUUUUUGGUCCUAUUAUGUUAGCCUUCAGUAUCGGAGUAAUGAUUAACAGGGACAGUCGGGGGGCAUUCGUAUUUCAUAGUCAGAGGUGAAAUUCUUGGAUUUAUGAAAGACGAACAAAUGCGAAAGCAUUUUCCAAGGAUGUUUUCAUUAAUUAAGAACGAAUGUGAGGUCUCUAAGAUGAUCAAAUACCCUCCUAGUCUCACUCAUAAACGAUACUAACCAGGGAUCGACGGAUGUUGCUUUUAGGACUCCACCGGCACCUUAUGAGAAAUUAAAGUUUUUUUGGUUCCGGGGGGAGUAUGGUCGAAAGGCUGAAACUUAAAGGAAUUGGCAGAAGGGCACCACCAGGAGUGGAGCCUGCGGCUUAAUUUGACUCAACACGGGGAAACUUACCAGGUCCAGACAUAGUAAGGAUUGACAGACUGAGAGCUCUUUCUUGAUUCUACGGGUGAUGGUGCAUGGCCGUUCUUAGUUGGUGGAGCCAUUUAUCUAGUUAAUUUCGUUAAUGAACGAGACCUCAGCCUGCUAACUAGCUAUGCGAAGGUAUCCCUUCGCGGCCAGCUUCUUAGAGGGACUACAGCCUUUUAGGUCACGGAAGUUUUAGGCAAUAACAGGUCUGUGAUUCCCUUAGAUGUUCUGGGACGCACGCGCGCUACACUGAGGAAUUCAACGAGAUUAUAUCCAUGUCCGACAGGCCCGGGUAAUCUUUGAAAUUCCAUCGUGAUGGGGAUAGAUCAUUGCAUUUGUUUGUCUUCAAUGAGGAAUUCCUAGUAAGCGCGAGUCAUCAGCUCGCGUUGACUAUGUCCCUACCCUUUUUACACAACACCCAUUGCUCUAACCAAUUGAAUGAUCCAGUGAAAUAUUCGGAUCACGGCGACAUGGGCGGUUCGCUGCUCGCAACGUCGUGAGAAAUCCAUUGAACCUUAUCAUUUAGAGGAACGAUAAGUCGUAACAAGGUUUCCAUAGGUGAACUUGCGGAAGGAUCAUUG